UUGCCUCGGCGGAUCAGCCCGCGCCCCGUAAAACGGGACGGCCCGCCAGAGGACCCAAACUCUAAUGUUUCUUAUUGUAACUUCUGAGUAAAACAAACAAAUAAAUCAAAACUUUCAACAACGGAUCUCUUGGUUCUGGCAUCGAUGAAGAACGCAGCAAAAUGCGAUAAGUAAUGUGAAUUGCAGAAUUCAGUGAAUCAUCGAAUCUUUGAACGCACAUUGCGCCCGCUGGUAUUCCGGCGGGCAUGCCUGUUCGAGCGUCAUUUCAACCCUCAAGCCCCCGGGUUUGGUGUUGGGGAUCGGCUCUGCCUUCACUGGCGGUGCCGCCCCCGAAAUACAUUGGCGGUCUCGCUGCAGCCUCCAUUGCGUAGUAGCUAACACCUCGCAACUGGAACGCGGCGCGGCCAUGCCGUAAAACCCCAACUUCUGAAUGUUGACCUCGGAUCAGGUAGGAAUACCCGCUGAACUUAAGCAUAUCAAU
rnacentral:rRNA from 1 species